AACGAACGCUGGCGGCGUGGCUAAGGCAUGCAAGUCGAACGGACAUGUUCCAAGGGGCAACUGCGGGACAUGUUAGUGGCGAACGGGUGAGGAAUACAUGGAUAACGUACCCUGGACACGGGAAUAGCGGCGGGGGCAACCCCUCUGCGAAAGUGCCGGUAAUACCCGAUGACCCCGCGGAAUCGCAUGGUUCUGCGGGGCAAAUGCUCCGACGGUCUGGGAUCGGUUCAUGACCUANCAGCUAGUUGGUGAGGUAACGGCUCACCAAGGCAACGACGGGUAGCGGGCGUGAGAGCGCGACCCGCCACAUCGGGACUGAGACACUGCCCGGACACUACGGGUGGCUGCAGCAACGAAUAUUCCGCAAUGGACGC
rnacentral:rRNA from 1 species